rnacentral:rRNA from 1 species
GACGAACGCUGGCGGCGUGCUUAACACAUGCAAGUCGAACGGUAAGGCCCUUCGGGGUACACGAGUGGCGAACGGGUGAGUAACACGUGGGUGAUCUGCCCUGCACUUCGGGAUAAGCCUGGGAAACUGGGUCUAAUACCGGAUAGGACCACUGCCUGCAUGGGUGGUGGUGAAAAGCUUUUGCGGUGUGGGAUGGGCCCGCGGCCUAUCAGCUUGUUGGUGGGGUGAUGGCCUACCAAGGCGACAACGGGUAGCCGGCCUGAGAGGGUGACCGGCCGCACUGGGCCUGAGAUACGGCCCAGACUCCUACGGGAGGCAGCAGUGGGGAAUAUUGCACAAUGGGCGCAAGCCUGAUGCAGCGACGCCGCGUGAGGGAUGACGGCCUUCGGGUUGUAAACCUCUUUCAGCACCGACGAAGCGCAAGUGACGGUAGGUGCAGAAGAAGGACCGGCCAACUACGUGCCAGCCGCCGCUGUAA